CAGUAGCCGCGGGAAUACGAAGGGUGCAAGCGUUACUCGGAAUUACUGGGCGUAAAGCGUGCGUAGGUGGUGGUUUAAGUCCGUUGUGAAAGCCCUGGGCUCAACCUGGGAAUUGCAGUGGAUACUGGGUCACUAGAGUGUGGUAGAGGAUAGUGGAAUUUCCGGUGUAGCAGUGAAAUGCGUAGAGAUCGGAAGGAACAUCUGUGGCGAAGGCGACUAUCUGGGCCAACACUGACACUGAGGCGCGAAAGCGUGGGGAGCAAACAGGAUUAGAUACCCCCGUAGUCCCUGUCUCUUAUAC
rnacentral:rRNA from 1 species